AACAAACGCUGGCGGCGUGCCUAAUACAUGCAAGUCGAACGGGGAAAGCUUUCGGGUGAGUACUAGUGGCGCACGGGUGAGUAACGCGUGGAUAAUCUGCCUUAGAGUGGGGGAUAACUAGUCGAAAGAUUAGCUAAUACCGCAUAAGACCACAAGAACUGCGGUUCAAGAGGUCAAAGGUUUUUCGCUCUAAGAUGAGUCCGCGUAAGAUUAGCUAGUUGGUGAGGUAACGGCUCACCAAGGCAACGAUCUUUAAAUGGUCUGAGUGGAUGAUCAGUCACACUGGAACUGAGACACGUUCCAGACUCCUACGGGAGGCAGCAGUAGGGAAUAUUGCACAAUUGAGGAAACUCUGAUGCAGCGACGCCGCGUGUGUGGUGAAGGCCUUCGGGUCGUAAAGCUCUGUCGCAGGGGAAUAACACAAUGAAUGUACCCUGUAAGAAAGUAUCGGCUAACUUCGUGCCAGCAGCCGCGGUAACAC
rnacentral:rRNA from 1 species